rnacentral:piRNA from 1 species
AGUGUGCAGCUGUCUUUGUGGAGAUGA